GCCCUGAAUAGAAAGAGGGCACACUCUCCGCAAAAAGGAGGGCCGAAGAACGCAUAACUUCAGAAAUCAAACAAAAUAUGGCAAAUUUAGUAG
rfam:Prevotella maculosa OT 289 genomic scaffold supercont1.3, whole genome shotgun sequence.